CAAAAAAAUAAACAUUCGUACGAUACGAAACGAAUUCAAAGUUGAGCUGAAUCUGAAUGCAACAAAGUUGCGAAUUAUUAUAAGUAAUUAGCAACUUUAUUUUUUAACUACUUGGUGCAGUGUUUAAAAUAAAGGUUACUGAAGCCAUACUAAUUGAAUAUUUCGUUUCUUGUCAAUACGAAUUCGCCAGUCGGUCAAAAAAUUACAUUGAAUGAUGGACAUGCCCGAGAUUACUGAAUCGAAAAUUAAACUACGGAAGCAAGAAGCCACCGGAGGAGUGACAUGCCUGAAUGAUAUAACACAUUUACGAAAGAUGCUUUCCCCUCAGAGCAGCGACCAAGUUAGCUCAAAUUCGUUUCGGCAUGGGCCACACCGAACAAGAUGUAGAACAUCAAUUUUGUGACGUAUGAUUAAGUAAUAAUUUGUUUGUGGUUUUGAAGUUAAAAACGAAACUUAAUAACAUUUUCGAAGGUAUUCAACAACUACAUAAAUUUAAAUGUACCUUACCCAAAAAUGUUUCCAUUUCUGUCGCAGAGACGAACAAUAAAGUUGGAUUGAAGAGGAACAAA